rnacentral:misc_RNA from 1 species
GUUUGGCCUUCACUGAACUUUGACGUAGAACAAGAAGAGCAAAGGAAAUCAAGAGAAACAAAUUCUCUAAACUUUAUUAAUUCUCAAUAAUAAAAGUAUCAUAAUAAAAGUCUAAUAAUAAAAUACCUAGACAUAAUUAUUUAUAUACUAGCAAUCCUAGCUACUACUAGUAGGAUUAGGGAACAAUAAAACACUAAAUCGAUACUAAUUAAGAAUUCUAAACAA